CCGAUAUUCUCCAAUAAUUCAAACUGAUUUAAAAUUAAAUAUUCCUUGAUCCAAACUAUUCAAAAGAGCAUCUCACAAUUAAAUAAAAGUGUGCUCAUACAAACUGAUCCAACAGAUAAACAAAUAAGCAUUAAAUUUUCUAAUUUGUGAUCAAUAAAAUAUCAAAUCCUUCAGAUUUUGGAGGAUGCAGACCAUCCUUUUCACUAUUUCAUGUAUAAGUGUAACAAUAACAAUAGUUAUUGGUGGAGAAAGAUAACAUUAAAUGAAGGAAUAUUACUCCCAUAUUUGGUAACUACAAAAACCAUGAAUCAUGAAUAUAAUAAAAAAAACUACAAACAUUGCUACUUUCAAAGACAGAAUUCCAGAAAACAAAUCAUGAAAAUUAGGGAGAGAGAAUAUCUACCUCCAAUUUCAUCAAUUUAAAGCUAAUACUGAAGUGAUGUCUCUCUACCAAAAAAAACUAAUAUUGAUGAAUGAUAUACCUUUUUCCUCAAAUUCAUGAGUAGCAGUCUCGAAUCGGACAUAAAAAAAACUAUGUGAGAAAUGAAGAAGCAACUAAAUACUA
rnacentral:lncRNA from 1 species